rnacentral:sRNA from 1 species
GCUGGGUACUCUGGUGUACACCUGUAAUCCCAGCAACUUGGGAGGCUGACAUAGGAGGAUUGCAAGGUUGAGGACAGCUGUGGCAACUUAGCAAGACCCUGUCUCAA